rnacentral:tRNA from 1 species
UUGUUUUAUUAGUAUAAAAAGUACAUUUAAUUUCCAAUUAAAAAGUUUUAAAUAAUAAAACAAU